rnacentral:ncRNA from 1 species
UUUAAUUCGAAGCAACGCGCAGAACCUUACCAGCGUUUGACAUGUCCGGACGACUUCGAGAGAUCGAUUUCUUCCCUUCGGGGACUGGAACACAGGUGCUGCAUGGCUGUCGUCAGCUCGUGUCGUGAGAUGUUGGGUUAAGUCCCGCAACGAGCGCAACCCUCGACUUUAGUUACCAUCAUUUAGUUGGGUACUCUAAAGUAACCGCCGGUGAUAAGCCGGAGGAAGGUGGGGAUGACGUCAAGUCCUCAUGGCCCUUACGCGCUGGGCUACACACGUGCUACAAUGGCGACUACAGUGGGCUGCAAACUCGCGAGGGUGAGCUAAUCUCCAAAAGUCGUCUCAGUUCGGAUUGCACUCUGCAACUCGAGUGCAUGAAGGCGGAAUCGCUAGUAAUCGUGGAUCAGCAUGCCACGGUGAAUACGUUCCCAGGCCUUGUACACACCGCCCGUCACACCAUGGGAGUUGGAUUCACCCGAAGGCGUUGCGCUAACUCGCAAGAGAGGCAGGCGACCACGGUGGGUUUAGCGACUGGGGUGAAGUCGUAACAAGGUAGCCGUAGGGGAACCUGCGGGCUGGAUCACCUCCUUU